GACGAACGCUGGCGGCGUGCCUAACACAUGCAAGUCGAACGGGAAUACGAUUUCGGUUGUAUUUUAGNGGCGAACGGGUGAGUAACGCGUGAGCAACCUGACCUUNAGAGGGGAUAACACUUGGAAACAGGUGCUAAUACCGCAUAAGACCACGACCUGACAUCAGGAUGAGGUCAAAGGAGAAAUCCGCUGAGGGAGGGGCUCGNGUCCCAUUAGAUAGAUGGCGGGGUAACGGCCCACCAUGUCGACGAUGGGUAGCCGAGCUGAGAGGCUGAUCGGCCACACUGGAACUGAGACACGGUCCAGACUCCUACGGGAGGCAGCAGUGGGGAAUA
rnacentral:rRNA from 1 species